rnacentral:misc_RNA from 1 species
GUAAAUUUGGUCAGGCUACCAAUGGACUUGCUUAUGAAGCGGGAAAAAAGAAAAUUUUCUUGGCUUGGCUGAUGAGGGAAAUAAUUUUUGGGAGAAAGCCCAACAAAUAAUGAAAAUCUAAGAGCCUCUACUCAAAGUCUUGACAUUGGUGGAUGUUGAUGAAACGUCAACAAUAGUUUUAUAUUUGACGCAAUGAAAAGCAAAAUUGGUUAAUUAGAAAAAUUCUAGAAGUUAUAUAGAGUCUUGGAAAAUAAUUGAUGAAAGGUGAGUUUUCAAUUAUAUCAUAAUUUGCAUGUAGCUGGUAAGUUGGUGUCUUAACGAGUUACUAUAUAUAUUUAUUGCUUAAAAAAUAUUAAAUAAC